rnacentral:snRNA from 1 species
CUUUAAUACUUUAUGAUUAUUU